GAUGAACGCUAGCGGGAGCUUAACACAUGCAAGUCGAGGGGCAGCAUAGGGUAGCAAUACUCUGAUGGCGACCGGCAAACGGGUGAGUAACGCGUAUGCAACCUACCCUGUACAGGGGGAUAACCCGGAGAAAUUCGGACUAAUAUCCCGUAAUAAUAUCCGGAGGCAUCUUUGGAUAUUUAAAGUUCCGACGGUACGGGAUGGGCAUGCGUAACAUUAACUGGUUGGUAAGGUAACGGCUUACCAAGGCUAUGAUGUUUAGGGGUCCUGAGAGGGUGGUCCCCCACACUGGUACUGAGACACGGACCAGACUCCUACGGGAGGCAGCAGUGAGGAAUAUUGGUCAAUGGGCGCAAGCCUGAACCAGCCAUCCCGCGUGCAGGAAGACGGCCCUAUGGGUUGUAAACUGCUUUUCCAGGGAGAGAAACUUACGCACGUGUUGCGUGACUGACGGUACCCUGGGAAUAAGCAUCGGCUAACUCCGUG
rnacentral:rRNA from 1 species